rnacentral:lncRNA from 1 species
CACACGGACGUAAGCAGUGAUUGGUCGUUAUCAUCUGAUUUUGACAUAGAUAGACAUAUGGAUUUGGAUGAAUUUUUGUGGUUAUGUAAGUAUAUUUUUUGUCUGUCUGAUUGACACUUUCUUGUUUUUGAAAAAUUUGUUCAAGAAUGGAAAUAUGAAGACGUGGAAAGAUAUGCAGAAAGUUGAGACAAGUUAUGUAAGGUCUAGAACAGUUCACACAAAGAAACAAGAUGAUUUAUACUAUGAGUAUAGUUUUUAAUCAAUUUCAUGCUAUGAGUGUAACAGAAAUAACAUAAUAAUAUGCAAGGAGUAUAGAUGCUAGGAGAGUAUAUUAUAUUCAUUGAUGUGGAUAUAAGCCCAACUAUAAAAUAAUUAGGACAGAGAAACCUGUUCCAUUCAUUGUCCCUCCAGACUGAUUUGCAAACUGUGAGAUCAAGGACAGCUUUCUAUCAGUUAUGUAUUGGAAAACACAUGCUGAACCAUGCAUCUGUAAAAACUACAAGAAAAAAUGGUUGUAGAGAAAUUAAUGAGGUGCCACCCAAUAAAAUUUCAUGAGAUUCAAGAAUGUGAAGAUACAUGAGCAAUUUCAGAUGAUGCUGCAAGGUGUUUGGGAGAAAAUAAAAA